CAAUAGCGUAUAUUUAAGUUGUUGCAGUUAAAAAGCUCGUAGUUGGAUUUUGGGUCGGGGCGUCCGGUCCGCCGUUCUGGUGUGCACUGGGCGCCCCUUCCUUUCUGCCGGGGACCGCCUGGGGCUUUAAGUAGCUCGAGGCGGGAGUCGGCGUUGUUACUUUGAAAAAAUUAGAGUGUUCAAAGCAAGCCAUCGCUCUGAAUACAUUAGCAUGGAAUAACAUGAUAGGACUCCGCUCUUAUUUUGUUGGUUUCCGAGACUGGAGUAAUGAUUAAGAGGGACAGUCGGGGGCAUCCGUAUUUCAUUGUCAGAGGUGAAAUUCUUGGAUUUAUGAAAGACGAACUUCUGCGAAAGCAUUUGCCAAGGAUGUUUNCAUUAA
rnacentral:rRNA from 1 species